AUAUUGGAGUAUUACAUAUAUGGAACUUUUAUACUUGAUUUUAUUAUCGGUACUAAUAUUUUUAUGAAGAAUAAAAAUAUUAGUACCAAUACAAAUGACCUUAGUUCGGUACCUAUAAAAUUACGCAGAAUCAUUUCUAACGAUUAAAUUUCUCCUUGAACUUUCAUACGCGAUUGUGAUAAUGUGAACGAAUACAUUAACUAAUCUUCGGAAUAUUUAAUUUUUUCCAUCAUGUCAUAUGCACCUUUGAAACGUUUAACUGGAAGAAUUGCCAUUGUGACCGCUUCUACCGAUGGAAUUGGAUUUGCCAUUGCACAGAGAUUAGCCCAAGAAGGAGCAAAAGUUAUAAUAAGUAGUAGAAAACAAAAUAAUGUUGAUAAGGCGACGAAAUCUCUAAAGAAUGAAGGUUUAGAUGUACGUGGUUUAGUUUGUCACGUAGCUAAAGCAGAGGACAGAAAAAAACUUUUCGAUGAAGCUACUAAAAUCGGAGGUCUUGAUAUUUUAGUUUCCAACGCAGCCGUAAGUACUACGGUAGGAGGAGUACUAGAUUGUACUGAAGAUCAUUGGGAUAAAAUAUUCGAUGUUAAUGUCAAAUCUUCAUUUUUAUUAGCCAAAGAAGCCUUGCCUCUACUAAGAAAGAGUAAAGCCGGAAGGAUUAUUUUUAUAUCUUCAAUUGCUGGUUUUCAUCCUUCGGAAUUCUUAGGAGCUUACAGUGUGAGUAAAACUGCGUUACUGGGGCUUACAAAAGCCGCAGCAGUUCAGUUAGCUAGAGAAAACAUAACGGUAAAUAGUGUAGCUCCUGGUUUAAUUGAGACUAAAUUCGCAGAACCGAUUACAUCUAAUGAAGAAAUGGUAAAAAUAGCUGUACCAAUGAUUCCAAUGGGAAGAGUUGGUAAACCACGAGAUAUUUCUGGAAUAGUAGCAUAUUUGGCUUCAGAUGACGGAUCUUAUGUUACAGGAGAAAAUAUGAUUAUAGCCGGUGGAAUGAGCUCAAGAUUAUAAUUUAUUUUUCGAUUUUCAUUGUAGUUUUUGUGGGAAAUAUAUUUUUAACUAAUAAAUCCCAAUAGAUUUCUAUAAAAAACGAAAAUAAGGAUAUAAAUAGAACCUUUAUAAGGACCAAUGUACUGUAAGGAAGAUAAACAUAAGUUUGGACAAACAUUAAUGGAUGAGAAUUCAAGAAAAAAGAAAAUAGGAAUACUGAGAAGAGAAGGAAUGAAACAAUGUUAAAAAAUAUUGCUAAAAAACAGCACAGAAAGUGAAAAAAAGAGGAAGAGCGAGAAGAGAAGGAAUGAAGCAAUGUUGAAAGAUAUUGUUGAAGUUAGAAAACUGUUGUAAGUUGCUUCGUUGUUGGUUGUAAUCGGUUUUCGAAGGACCAUUUUUAAAAAUGAAUUUGUAUCUUGAAAUGAACAGUUCAAUUACAAAUUUUCUCCAACCAUAUAAACUAUAGACAGAGGAAAGCAAAUAUGUUGGCCAAAAUCAUACCAUCAAACCCUCCCCUAUAGAUCUUAAAAGCAGUUUAAUAACAAAAUUAAGAACAAAAACGAAUAAUAGAGGAAGAAAAUAUAAUGGAAAAAAAGGGAAGAAUAAGAGAUGAAGAAAUUUAAGUAACAACAAUAGUAAAUCGUUUCCUCUACGGUUGGUUCUGAUAUAAUAUCCCUUCCUCUACGGUAUGGAAAACUACCUAUUAUGCUUCUAAUAUAGUACCAUUUUCUCUAAAGUAUGGAAAAACGACCUACUAUGGACAAAAUUGAGUAAAAAUAAUAGUGAGGACAUGGAGACAGAUUUCUGAGUGUUGUCUUUGAUGGUUGUUGGUUCUGAUACAGUUUCUUUUCCUCUAUGGUAUCGAAAACUACCUACUAUGGUUCUGAUAUAGUAUCCUUUUCUCUACAGUAUGGAAAAACGACCUACUAUGGAGUAAAUUGAGUAAAAACAAAAGUGAGGACAUAGACAGAUUUCAGAGUGUUGUUGAUUCUGUAGAAAACAAAAUGGAUGUUUUUCUUCAAAAUACAGUAAAAUCAACAUUAAACUUAAAAAUAUUUAUUAAUUAAAACACAUAUUGCUUACACAUAGCUCUUAAAAACGUACUCUUCCUCAAAUUACUAGCCUCCCUUUGUAUCUCUUCGUUAUUAUUCGAAUUCAAUUCCAGCAUACCGAUAACUUGAAUGGCGAUUUUCCUUCUCUGAAAUUCACCUUUUUUAUUAUGUAUUGAAAUCAGGUAUUCCAAAAUACUGGUGUCCCAAAAACAGUGGUAAUAAGCGUCUACGGCGUCGUUGCAAGUUUUAGGUUCGGAUAAAAUCCUAAAUGCCAACAUGUAAUCGGUCUCUUCCAAAAAUUGACAUAAUACGGCAGCUUGAGUAUUCGCUCCAAGUGUCAUACAACAUUUUAUCAUUCUUCUAAACACGUGAUCGUCAUUUCUAAUUGGAAUAUUGAAGUAAUCGUGGAAUAUAAGUAAAGAUUUCAAAUAGUAGUUUAAAGAAACUUGGUAGUGACCGUUUGCUGAAAAUAAAAUCAAUUUUUAUAUUGUUUAUUGUGAAACUUGGUUUUAAUUUAGAGUACAAUGGAUGUUUUUUUCAAUAUAUACAGUGUAGUAGUUGAGAAAACUACAUAUGAAUUGUGCAACUUACCAAAAUUAAUAUCACCCAUUAAUCUCAACCAAGCAACAUUAUUUGGAUAAUGUUUCAAGGCGUGCAUAACAAGUUCCAUUAAAAUUUCACUUAUUGCCAUUACGUUAUAAGAGCUAGAGCUAAAAAUUAUAUUUUAAGAUCAACUUUUUUGUUACAACAUGUUAUAUUUUUAAAAAUACUAACAAAAGUUUUGAGAAGCAAGUUCAAUUUUCAAGAAGGAUGAAAAAAGUGUAAAUAAUACAUCAGCAUCAAUUUGGUUUUAAAAAAGAACUACUAAUGUCAAAUUUGUUUUUUUAGAUGUUACCAAAGCCUCUGACUAGGUUUUGACACUAAAAUCUUCCAAAGUCCAGUAAUUUUUGUGGUAUUUCAGCCAACUUUUUAACAAGUUUUGAGAAUGAAAUUUACAGAAAGUUGUAAAAGAUACUUCAGGACAAAUGUGGUUUUCUAAAACAACUAUUACAGUCACAUUUGGUUUCCUAGAUGCUACCAAAGCCUCUGACAAGAUGUAACACUGAUAUCCUCAAGAUCUAAUAAUUUUUCUAAUACCUCAAACCCAAAAAAAGAUUAUAAAAGAUACUUCAAGACGAAUUUGGUUUUCGAAAAGACCUACUACAGUCCAACAAUUGAUUUCGAAAAGUUCUUCACUUUUGCUCCAGUCGAAUUCGAUGCAGUCGUUAGAUUCUGUGGGUAACUUGAAGCAAUCGAAUGUUAAGAGAGAAGGAAUUAUUUCCCAAUCUAGAGCUUCGGUUAGAAAGUUUACAGUUUUGUUUAUGUUUUCAGGACAGCAGAUAAUUGAUUCAUCUGCCAUUGAUAUAUCGUUUAUACUAAAAAUAAUAAUCUUAAAACAAAAA